rnacentral:rRNA from 1 species
UACAGAGGUUCCAAGCGUUGUUCGGAUUCAUUGGGCGUAAAGGGUGCGUAGGCGGCGCGGUAAGUCGGGUGUGAAAUCUCGGGGCUUAACUCCGAAACUGCAUUCGAUACUGCCGUGCUUGAGGACUGGAGAGGAGACUGGAAUUUACGGUGUAGCGGUGAAAUGCGUAGAUAUCGUAAGGAAGACCAGUGGCGAAGGCGGGUCUCUGGACAGUUCCUGACGCUGAGGCACGAAGACCAGGGGAGCAAACGGG